AACAGUUAAAAAGAAGAGUCGGCCAUGCUGUUAAGCAAUAUGGGGGGAGACAGGACGAACUAAUUGUUAGCAGACGCCACGAUGUUUCAUAAAAGAGGGGGGGAGAUGAAAGGGAGAAGGGGUGAUGAAAAAGCAGCUGUUGCAAACUAUCGAUUUCAUUGUCUAUAUUUAUCGUUACGCCUUUUUUUUUCGUUCUGUCAAUGGCAAAAUGACGAGGAAACAAAUGACAAGGAAACAGAAUGACGAUGACCUGGUUUAGCGGCCUUGUAUGCCUUUAAGAGAAAGGUAAAAAAAAAAAUUACAUAAAAAAAAUAGCGCGCAGAGAGGGAACCGUAGAAAGAGAAUUGCUGCUCGAAUGUUGGGCGAAAGUCUUGCUGCUAUGGACACAAACGAACGAAGCUAAAAAUUGAAGAAGAAAAAAUAGUAAUAAAUAAAAGAAAAAUAAAGUUGCGCCUUUGGGUAUUUCUUGGGUUUCGAUUCCGUCAUCAUCACAUAAAGAUUUUGGGCGUAUAGCCAUGGUAUACAUUUUCGCUCCAGCUUCAGGCCGUUGGCGUUUUUGCGGUGGCGUAGCGAACUAUGAACAACAACAACCCCGCAAAUGUCUGCCUACGUACAGUUCAUGUGCUUUGUGUUGUAUACGCAAACACAUUAGACAAACAAUAAAACAACAUACUGGCCUUGUGUAUAUAGCGAAAUUCCUCUCAUGCUUCGCGCUUGAAAUCAAUUUGACAAACAAAACCCAAAUUGUUUCAAAAACGGGGAGGAAUGUUUUGUUUUUUUGCCAAACAUUUUGUUCGAAGAAAAAGAUAGGGCAUGGCAACAACUGAUUUUGGGCCGCUAUUUAUACUUGCUAAUAUCGAGACGAAUUGCUCGCAGCCAUAAAAUCGUUGGAUAUUUACGGCUUUGACUUCAUCACUAAUGUGAAUGGCAAGAAUAAAGAAAGAAGAAAAAAGAAAAGAAAACUUGAAUUAAACGAGAGAGACGACCGCCCAAUGGAUGACGCCCUCGUCUGCACACCGACAAGACCCACCUCUUCGCGUGUUGACUUUAACACAAAGGCGAAACACUUGAGCGAACAACAUCAAAAUCUGAUGAGAGUUUUUUCUUCGGCUGGUAGUUCGGCUAAAAAAGUAAACGAAGCGUGACACGAAAGAGACUCUUUUCCGUUAUGUCGUUCAACUAUCAUAAUGCGUUGCGGUCACCGUGACGAUCGAAUGUUUACGGGUAACUUAAUGAAACCGGUCAUCCGUCUCCACUAGAAAAUGAUCGAUGCGGGUUACGGCCAGUUUUUUACCCGAUCCCUGCUGUUGCUGUUUUGUUGCACGAAACUU